rnacentral:lncRNA from 1 species
GAAGCAACAUCAACAAUUUUUGCAUAUGAUUUUUGAGAUACCCACUUGACGCACUUUGGAGUGGAUGACUAUGAUAUGGAGGGAGGUAGCGAAGAAGUAAACACUCUAGUUGAUACAUCAAAUGCUGAAACUACUCUCCUUUGGACAAUCAAGUAUGAACCAUUGCCCGCAUUAGCCGAUACACCCACAGUCCUAUCAUUAGAAUCACCACUUGCAUUAGAAUUGAAGCCACUUUCGAUCGCACUUAAGUAUACAUUCCUAGGACCUAAUGAUACCCUUUCGAUGAUCAUUGCAUCAGAUUGGACCCU